UAUUUACAGGUUCUUGGGUUUCUAAUUUUGCAUGACAGACUUUAUGAGAAGUCACGUCUUUGAAGAAAAAGGACAAUGAGUAUACAUUCAACAAGGUCCUUUGUUUGGUAACCCGUUUGCUGCUACCACCCCUUUUUACUUCCUUAAACAGGCCCUCUUGAUUUGAGGGUAACUCCUUCGCUACUUAUCAUGGACUUCAUCCAUUGGUGAAAACUGACAAGAGAAAGCUGUAAUUCAAGACUGGUAGUUGUUGGAUGUCUAAGCCGGAAGCCUACUAUGGUUAAUCGCUGACUGUGUGUGCGAGUUUCAAAAGCAGUUUAUCACCCAAAUGAGACAAAAGGAGUUUGUUUUAUUUGGGUAUAAAAUGCUUUAAAAUUUGCACAGAUCAACAUUUGUCUUGUACCGGACGCUUUGUUUAUUAAAUUUCAAACAUUUUGGCUAAAAA